rnacentral:rRNA from 1 species
CCCCCCUUUGAGAGUCUCAGAGAAAAAGAGGGGCACCCCCCCCACCCUUUCUCAACAAGAGAGCCCCUACGCGCGAGAGAGAUGAGUUGCCCCUUCCUAAACCAUACCGGGAACACUCCCCACACAAGGGUUGCCCUGUACCCCGGCCAAGAGAGGUGGGCCAAAAAGGCCCCCCAUUCCCCGCUUUGUAUUCACGCCCCCACCACCCCCAUCUCAUUCCAUCCCGUGUUUUCCCCUUACCCGAACCAAAAAUCAUUUUGACCCUUUGCAAUUUUCCCCGUUCCAACCCCCCUUUUCCUUCGGUCCAAAAACCUUGGGGGGCGGGCCGGAGACUGCUUCCCCGGGACCAGGGGCCCCCGUGGGCCCGCCAAACCACAGGGUAAAAGGACCAAGGUGGGAGGUGGGCCGCGAGGGCCCCCACUCGGUACUUUCCGUUUAGGGGAACCUGCGGAAGGAUUAUUACCGAGUGCGGGCCCUCGCGGCCCAACCUCCCACCCUUGUCUCUAUACACCUGUUGCUUUGGCGGGCCCACCGGGGCCACCUGGUCGCCGGGGGACGCACGUCUCCGGGCCCGCGCCCGCCGAAGCGCUCUGUGAACCCUGAUGAAGAUGGGCUGUCUGAGUACUGUGAAAAUUGUCAAAACUUUCAACAAUGGAUCUCUUGGUUCCGGCAUCGAUGAAGAACGCAGCGAAAUGCGAUAAGUAAUGUGAAUUGCAGAAUUCCGUGAAUCAUCGAAUCUUUGAACGCACAUUGCGCCCCCUGGCAUUCCGGGGGGCAUGCCUGUCCGAGCGUCAUUUCUGCCCUCAAGCACGGCUUGUGUGUUGGGUGUGGUCCCCCCGGGGACCUGCCCGAAAGGCAGCGGCGACGUCCGUCUGGUCCUCGAGCGUAUGGGGCUCUGUCACUCGCUCGGGAAGGACCUGCGGGGGUUGGUCACCACCAUGUUUACCACGGUGACCUCGGAUCAGACAGAUCACUG